rnacentral:rRNA from 1 species
UACGUAGGGGGCUAGCGUUGUCCGGAAUCAUUGGGCGUAAAGAGCGUGUAGGCGGUCCGGUAAGUCGGCUGUGAAAGUCCAGGGCUCAACCCUGGGAUGCCGGUCGAUACUGCCGGACUAGAGUUCGGAAGAGGCGAGUGGAAUUCCCGGUGUAGCGGUGAAAUGCGCAGAUAUCGGGAGGAACACCAAUGGCGAAGGCAGCUCGCUGGGACGUUACUGACGCUGAGACGCGAAAGCGUGGGGAGCAAACAGG